AGCCAUGCAUGUCUAAGUACAAACUUUUACACGGUGAAACCGCGAAUGGCUCAUUAAAUCAGUUAUGGUUUAUUAGAUGGUGCUAUCCUACUUGGAUAACUGUGGUAAUUCUAGAGCUAAUACAUGCGACAAAGCUCCGACCCUCGCUGGAAAGAGCGCUUUUAUUAGAUCAAGACCAACCGGUAUCGCCUUCGGGUGUGCCGCCGGAUUGAUGACUCUGGAUAACCAUUGCCGAUCGUAUGGCCCAGCGCCGACGACGCAUCUUUCAAAUGUCUGCCCUAUCAACUUUCGUUGGUAGGUGAUUUGCCUACCAAGGUGUUUACGGGUAACGGGGGAUCAGGGUUCGAUCCCGGAGAGGGAGCAUGAGAAACGGCUACCACAUCCAAGGAAGGCAGCAGGCGCGCAAAUUACCCACUCUUAGCACGAGGAGGUAGUGACGAAAAAUAACAAUACGGGACUCUUUCGAGGCCUCGUAAUUGGAAUGAGUACACUCUAAACUCGUUUACGAGGAUCUAUUGGAGGGCAAGUCUGGUGCCAGCAGCCGCGGUAAUUCCAGCUCCAAUAGCGUAUAUUAAAGCUGUUGCGGUUAAAAAGCUCGUAGUCGGAAUUCGGGCGGCGGCCAAUGGUUCGGUUCCAUGCCGCCGAUACUGCUGGUCGCCGCCUCCACGCCGGUAGUCCUUCGAUGCUCUUAACUGAGUGUCUUUGGUAGCCGGAGCGUUUACUUUGAAAAAAUUAGAGUGUUCAAGGCAGGCCUCGAGCCUGAAUGAUGGUGCAUGGAAUAAUGGAAUAGGACCUCGGUUCUAUUUUGUUGGUCUUCGGAACUGGAGGUAAUGAUUAAUAGGGACAGACGGGGGCAUUCGUAUUGCGGCGUUAGAGGUGAAAUUCUUGGAUCGUCGCAAGACGGACUACUGCGAAAGCAUUUGCCAAGAAUGUUUUCAUUGAUCAAGAGCGAAAGUCAGAGGAUCGAAGACGAUCAGAUACCGUCCUAGUUCUGACCAUAAACGAUGCCAACUAGCGAUCCGGCUCCGUUGCUCCAUAAGACUGGCCGGGCAGCUCCCGGGAAACCAAAGUCUAUGGGUUCCGGGGGAAGUAUGGUUGCAAAGCUGAAACUUAAAGGAAUUGACGGAAGGGCACCACCAGGAGUGGAGCCUGCGGCUUAAUUUGACUCAACACGGGAAAACUCACCCGGUCCGGACACCGUAAGGAUUGACAGAUUGAAAGCUCUUUCUUGAUUCGGUGGGUGGUGGUGCAUGGCCGUUCUUAGUUGGUGGAGCGAUUUGUCUGGUUAAUUCCGAUAACGAACGAGACUCUAG
rnacentral:rRNA from 1 species